rnacentral:rRNA from 1 species
CGGACGGGUGAGUAAUGCCUGGGAAACUGCCUGAUGGAGGGGGGUAACUACUGGAAACGGUAGCUAAUACCGCAUAACGUCGCAAGACCAAAGAGGGGGACCUUCGGGCCUCUUGCCAUCGGAUGUGCCCAGAUGGGAUUAGCUAGUAGGUGGGGUAAAGGCUCACCUAGGCGACGAUCCCUAGCUGGUCUGAGAGGAUGACCAGCCACACUGGAACUGAGACACGGUCCAG